rnacentral:lncRNA from 1 species
GUGUUUGCCAUGUCUCCAACACGAUUCCACCAACUUUGGUUUCCAUUCCCUCCAUUUCUUAUGUCAGUAGGAGACUGACAGAAGCUGUCAGGAGGAGACUGGGGGUUGCUGGUUCCUUCUGCCCUAGGGACAAUGCUUCCCUCAACCCCUCAAAGCAGCAAGAUUUAUGCAAGCCUCCUGUGACAGCAGAGCUUCUGUCCCAUCAGUAGCCUUAUCAAAUCUGUCCUAUAGCC